UACAGAGGUCCCGAGCGUUGUUCGGAUUCACUGGGCGUAAAGGGUGCGCAGGUGGGUUGGCAAGUUUGAUGUGAAAGCCCCCGGGCUUAACCCGGGAAUGGCAUUGAAUACUGCUGAUCUGGAGGAUUGGAGGGGGACUGGAAUUCUUGGUGUAGCAGUGAAAUGCGUAGAUAUCAAGAGGAACACCAGUGGCGAAGGCGAGUCCCUGGACAAUACCUGACACUGAGGCACGAAAGCUAGGGGAGCAAACAGG
rnacentral:rRNA from 1 species